UUUGAGGGGAAGGGAGGGGCAGAGAAAGAGGGAGAGAGAGAAUCCCAAGUGGGCUCCACGCUGCCAGCACAGAGCCCAACACGGGGCUCGAUUCCAUGAACUGUGACAUCAUGACCUGAGCCGAGAUCAAGAGUCAGACGCUUAACUGACUGAGCCACCCAGGCGCCCGGAGUGUUGAACAACAACAACAACAACAACAUCCUCGACAUCAAGUGUAUUUGAAUCUCUGUGUUGUGUUUCUUAAACCUUCUGGAGAAAUGGAAGACCUGAAGUUAAAAUAAUGAAAUCUGAGUCCUGUCUGGCCUGAGCCGGACUCCUGAUUUACCGGGAUGCUUACACCCUAUGCGUUAUGGUUCCCCGUCUGAAAAAGAGGUGCCGUAUUUCAAGCCCAUCUUAAUUCAGACCAGCCACAUUUCAAAUGCAAACUAGCUGCAUGCGGCUAGCGGCUACCUUAUUGGACAGCAGAGAUGUGGAACAUCCCCGCAGAAAGUUCUGUUGGACAACACAUAUCUGGUCCAUGCAGGAGGAUCUUCAUCUAGAAAUUGGUCUUUCUGCAGAAGGCAUCACCUGUCAUCUCUACUUUCCAAAGAGCCCUAGGCGGUGUCUUUCCAUUUUUACAAGAAAGCCCAUUUCUGACUAUUUGGACCUGUUCUUCCUUGGGGCUCGAACUACACUAACAGUCUCCCAAAGUGAAGAAAACACAGUCGGAUGCUCUCCCCUGAAGCACACGUGCUGCCUUUCUGUCACGUUCUCCUGAAACUUCUCAGCUGGGAUGAAAGUUAAUUUGUAGAUCAUUCCUUAACGCUCCCAAGCCUCAUGUUAAAAGGGCCUGCCUUCCACCCACCGUCAAAACCGCUCGCACAAGCGGUGGGCUUGUAAAUGUUUGACAACUGGCUCCCUGGAGGAAGAAGCUCCGAUGGAGGCAUUUGCUGGCUUGUGUGGUGUGAAUACUCCCGCUCUGGUUGGUGGUCUCGAGCUACUAGUGUGACUGGUAAGAGGCGGGAAGAGAUGAGGUGGGAACAGAAGGUGGCCAUCACUUGAGAGGAGAUGGCUCCACACGUCCCGGGAGCACAGUGACAUGUAUGCGGAACUUUUUCAGGAACUGUAGAAUAUAUAGCAUAGAAUACCGUUCCCAUGCAAGGCAAAAAUGUCCAAAGGCUUCAGUGGGUUGGGUAAAAGUGAAAUUUUAAGCAUAGUUGAACUUGGGAAGAAGGCACACCGGUAACAAAAUAUAUAGGAGAUUUUAAGUGUAUCCUUAUUUUCCACCUCUGUACUCAUAGUGAACAAUACAGAUCUAAUCAAUAGCACUCUGUUGAAAUGUAGCUGAAAGUGGCAAGCGAGAUAGAGAAAGACAAGGACUGUGUGACAUCAUUCACAUGCAGAAUCAGGGCUCCUGGGUGGCUCAGUGGGUUAAGUGACCCACUUUGGCUCAGGUCGUGAUCUCGUGGUUUGUGGGUUCGAUUCAUCCCGCGUCGGGCUCUGUGCCGACGGCACAGAGCCUGGAGCCUGCUUUGGAUUCUGUGUCUCCCUCUCUCUCUGCCCCUCCCCCACUCACACUCUGUCUCUCUCUCUCCAUGUCUCAGAAAUACACAUUAAAAAAUUUUUUUAAAUUCACAUGCAGAAUCAAAAAAGUCAAGCCUGUAAAAAGCAGAGCAAAACGAUGGUUACCAGGGGGUGGGUGGGGGUCAGAGUGACGGUGUUUAAGGGUACAAACUUGGAAUCGGUAGUGAAUAAGCCAUAGAGAUCUCACGCAGAGUAUGAUAAAUAUAGACGAUAAUAUUGUACUAUAAUUAAGUUACGUGACAAAUAUCACUACAUGGACAAUCAUGUGACAAUAUAUAAAUAUAUCAACACAACAUCCUGUAGACCUUAAACUUCCACAAUGUUACAUGUCAAAUUUAUUCAAUUAAAAAAAAAAUGUGCUGAAGUGAGAUCAGCUCUCAUUAGCACCUGUUUAUUCUGGUCAGGUGACAACGAUCCCUCCCAUUGUUCCAUUGAAAGAAACAACAUCAAGUACAUAAAUAGCUUGAGAAUAGCUUGAGAAUUUAUCAGCAUUUCUCAUUGACCCAUUCUUCCAGAAAAAAAAAAAAAAGCAAAUGUAUGUGCUUUGUGAGGCUGAGAUCAAUGGUGUAAAGGCGACAUAGUCCAUCUUUAAUGAGGUAUGUAGAGUGUGGGACUCUAACUUGGAGUCUGAACUACAGCCAUAGGAUCUGGGGCAAACCCUUUGAAACUAUGCGGGACCUUAUUUUCCUCACGUAUAAAAUUAAGGGUUGGACUAGGUCAGUGUUUCCCAGGUUUUAGUCUUUCUCUCAUAAGCGAUCAUCACUGUUGUUGUCAUUUCCAUAUCCUACCUGCAGUGUUAUUUUCUCUAUAUUUUUCUUAAAACAACUCACCUCUUUACUUAACUACUGAGCCUUUGCCUAAGUAGUAACAUCUGUAAAAUCACAUAACCCUGCUUAGGUAGGGUAGUUCUGUUUUUUCCUGACACACACUGAUACAAAAACGUAAGUGUAAAUUUAACCAUGGCACGUGCACCUCCUAAGAUCAUCUCGUAUGCCACGAGUGGUUAGCGUCCCGUGGAUAAGGUGAUCUCUGUGGGUCCCACGGCGUUGUUGGUUUCAAAUCCGUCAUAAUUUCAGCCACUUCAGUGCUUACUGGGGAAAUUUUAGGAUUGAUUCAUCUUGUGGUGACGCUGGUCAAUCAAGAUGAGUGAAACUAAUGGAUCACCCAGCUCUGCUUUGUCCAGGCCUCUUAUUAUAGAUAAAACGUGGUCUGAGACUUCUAUUCUGAAAUGUAUUUGCUCCUAUACCCAUGUAACUUUCUCGUUCCAUCAAGCAGCAGAAAGAUCUGAUCAAAAAUUUAAAUGAACGCAUUUUGCAUAUAAUAUUUUGUCUCUCACUAUUAAGCUCAGUAAAUAGGUUGAAAUCUGCAUAUAAAUCACUUAUAUUUCCCUGCUUGUCUCUAUGGGGGUUGCAGGGAUGGUGCUUUAAAUAUCAUGUGAAAUCUUUAAGAGAUUGCUGGGCACAGGAGAGGCUAUAGAAUUAUUUUUAUUAAAAAAAAUUACGAAUUAGAAAGCAGGACUUUCUUUAGAGUUUAUGUGGCUUAAAUAAUUUCAACCAGAUGAACCGUUGUCAACAAUUUGCAUUUAAAAUAUAAUUAAUUAUGUUAGUCUGCCUGUUAUUAUACUAGGAAAUUAAGAUACCAUACAUGUUUAUAAUAGGAAAUUUCUCAAUUGUCUUUUUUAAUCCUCUAUGAAGCUGCACAUUUAUUUCCACAGGAGGAAAGAAAAAUAAAUUAUGCUGCUGAAGUCAUACCAGUCUUUUCUAGGAUUAUGAAUCGGUGGAUGGUUUGUGGGAUUAGUGAUUCUCAAAUGAAAACCAGAUGGGCAAAAGAAAACCAUAAACAGUUAAGGGGGAAAAUUGGCAGAAAAAGUCACAUUUGAUAAUUACAUUUGUUGUUAUACCUCCUCUAAGGCAGCAAGAUUGUCUGGAACUCAGUUUACAAGAUAAUGUAACUCCUGACCUCUGAUUUGACCCAAUGAAAGUUCAGACUCUAUUUUGUUUGGGAAUAAUUAGGUAGCAAUAUGAUAAUCGAGUAGCUCUUUUUUGUUAGAAACAGAAAUCUUGCCCACAAAAAACUUUCAGGAGAUAUUCAUCCUGUCGUUCGUUUAAAUGUAUAAUAAGUUUAUGUUUAUAGUUAUAUAUAAAAAUAAGCUGAACAAACUUAGU